rnacentral:rRNA from 1 species
UACGUAGGGGGCAAGCGUUGUCCGGAUUUAUUGGGCGUAAAGAGCGUGUAGGCGGCCAGAUAGGUCCGUUGUGAAAACUCGAGGCUCAACCUCGAGACGCCGAUGGAAACCAUUUGGCUAGAGUCCGGAAGAGGAGAGUGGAAUUCCUGGUGUAGCGGUGAAAUGCGCAGAUAUCAGGAAGAACACCCGUGGCUAAGGCGGCUCUCUAGUACGGUGCUGACGCUGAGACGCGAAAGCGUGGGGAGCGAACAGG